UGUAAGCGUAUACCAAAGUUGUUGCAGUUAAAACGCUCGUAGUCGGAAUUUGGCAGUUCCGGAUGUGUGCACGUCGUGUGCGCGCUUUGCGGGAAUUGCUUUUGUGGUCUUGCGUAGGAUGAGGCACUUUUAUUAGUGAACGUCCUCACGCAACCACUUUUUACUGUGAGAAAAUCAGAGUGCUCAAAGCAGGCAUUUGCCGUGAAUGUAUUAGCAUGGAAUAAUAGAAUAGGACUUGGUUCUAUUUUGUUGGUUUGUUGGGACUGAGUAAUGAUUAAGAGGGACAGUUGGGGGCAUUUGUAUUUCGGUGCUAGAGGUGAAAUUCUUAGAUUACCGAAAGACAAACUGCUGCGAAAGCGUCUGCCAAGGAUGUUUUCAUUGA
rnacentral:rRNA from 1 species